rnacentral:rRNA from 1 species
UGAGGAAUAUUGGUCAAUGGGCGAGAGCCUGAACCAGCCAAGUCGCGUGAAGGAAGACUGCCCGCAAGGGUUGUAAACUUCUUUUGUAUGGGAUUAAAGUCGUCUACGUGUAGGCGUUUGCAGUUACCAUACGAAUAAGCAUCGGCUAACUCCGUGCCAGCAGCCGCGGUAAUACGGAGGAUGCGAGCGUUAUCCGGAAUUAUUGGGCGUAAAGCGAGCGCAGGCGGUUAGAAAAGUCUGAAGUGAAAGGCAGUGGCUCAACCAUUGUAGGCUUUGGAAACUGUUUAACUUGAGUGCAGAAGGGGAGAGUGGAAUUCCAUGUGUAGCGGUGAAAUGCGUAGAUAUAUGGAGGAACACCGGUGGCGAAAGCGGCUCUCUGGUCUGUAACUGACGCUGAGGCUCGAAAGCGUGGGGAGCGAACAGG